UACGAGAGGCCCAAACGUUUAUUCGGAUUUACUGGGGCUUAAAAGAGUUCGUAGGCGGCGCAGAAAGUAGGGGUGUGAAAGCCCUCGGCUCAACCGAGGAAUUUGCGCUCUAAAACUACUGUGCUUGAGGAAGCUAGAGGUGAGCGGAACUGAUGGUGGAGCGGUGAAAUGCGUUGAUAUCAUCAGGAACACCGGGAGGCGAAGGCGGCGUCACUUGGGGCUUUUCUGACGCUGAGGAACGAAAGCCAGGGGAGCGAACGGGG
rnacentral:rRNA from 1 species